rnacentral:misc_RNA from 1 species
AAGUCGUAACAAGGUUUCCGUAGGUGAACCUGCGGAAGGAUCAUUAUCGUACAACGGGGGUACAAGGGCUGUCGCUAACCUUUCAAAAGGUUGUGCACGCCCGAGUGCCCUCACACAUCCAUCUCACCCCUUUGUGCAUCACCGCGUGGGCCUCCUUUUUGCAAAGGAGCUUCACGUUUUCACACAAAACUUGAUACAGUGUAGAAUGUUAUCUUUGCGGUCACACGCAAUCAAUACAACUUUCAACAACGGAUCUCUUGGCUCUCGCAUCGAUGAAGAACGCAGCGAAAUGCGAUACGUAAUGUGAAUUGCAGAAUUCAGUGAAUCAUCGAAUCUUUGAACGCACCUUGCGCCCCUUGGCAUUCCGAGGGGCACACCCGUUUGAGUGUCGUGAAAUCCUCAAAAAUCCUUUUCAGUAAGAUUUUUGGACUUGGAGGUUUAAUGCUUGCCUUUCACCUUUGAAAGUGAGCUCCUCUCAAAUGAAUUAGUGGGGUCUGCUUUGCUUUGAUCCUUGACGUGAUAAGAUGUUUCUACGUUUUGGAUUUUUGGCACUGUUCCUUUGGAUGCCUGCUUCUAACUGUCUUUAUGGACAAUGGAUGGUGUUCCGGUCCCUGCCGUCUAAUGUCGGUGGGAGGCUGGACCCACGAACGAAAAACCUUGACCUCAAAUCGGGUGAGACUACCCGCUGAACUUAA